rnacentral:lncRNA from 1 species
UUUAUCUAUGAAGUCUCACACAGAAAAACAAGAGUUACCUGGGUUCAAGCAGUCCCUGCUCCACCCCCCAGGCCAUCUCCCUGACAGCAUUGCUGAUUUCAUGUCUUGAUGUGUAUGCAAAGCAGACAUUUAGAAAGCACUUGUUGUAGUUCCUGGUUGCCAUCACAGCUUGGGCAAUCAGUUCCUGAACAUCCAAGGGUAGAAGUGGCAAGUCCCCAAGGACACGGAUACACACACCAUGCUUCUUCAGGUUUUCCUGUUCUUCCAGUAGGCGGCUAAAUUUCUGCCUUGCCAGAUCCAUUAGUCCAUCCACCUCCUCCUUGGAUCGUUUAAAGUUCUCAAUACUAAAUGCAUAAACAGUGACCUCCCG